rnacentral:ncRNA from 2 species
GGAGCAACUUCUGGAGAGUUCGUUCAAACGACGCCGAAGGAUUCACAAUCUCAGGCAACCGGACAGAAGACAUAAC